rnacentral:lncRNA from 13 species
AUGGCAUCCUCAGAUGUCAGGAUGGUCAAAUUCAUUGGGGAAAGGGGUUCUGUGUCCGAGUCUGUUGUGAGGUCUACGACCGUUUUGAGGUCUGUGUCUGGUGCCUCUGUUUCAGCAAGCAGUUUCACAGCGUCCUCUGGUGUGAGGACGGUCAAAAUCAUUGGGGAAAGGGGUUCUGUCUCUAAGUCUGCGUUUGUUGGGAGGUCUGUGUUUGUUGGGGAAAGGGGUUCUGUCUCUAAGUCUGCGUUUGUUGGGAGGUCUGUGUUUGUUGGGGGGUCUACGUCCAUCGUGAGGUGUGUGUUUGUUGUGAGGUCUGAGUCUAUUGCUUCUGCAGGAAAUUCCACAGUCUCCAUCUUGCUGUGGAAGGUGUCAUCCAUCUGGACACCCCCAACCACUUUGGAACUGUCCUCUGCUUUAUCUGGUAUGAACCACAGAGACCAAGCUCUUCCAGAAUCUUUGUCAAUGUCAUUCAGCUUCUCGUUGACAUUUAACCAUGACGACCUGUAACCCACUUGGGAAGAGGUGUCAACAUGUACUGGAAUGGGAAACUUCUCGAGCACUUCCCCUAGUGAUAUACCACUGACUGCAAAGAGAACCACGGCCUUCUCAUCCUCUGCGGCCCAGGCAGACACAUCCUGCAUGAUUUUCUCAUCCAUUUGAUCUUUUAAAGCCUCUACCAGGUCAGAGGUAUCCCCUCCCCGAUACAACUCCAAUAUGGCCUCGAGACAACCAUCCUCUGCCUCUGUGACUGUUGUCGCACUCUCCAGAUAAGUAUCCAGUUGCUGCAGCGCACAUAACUUGAACUGAACUUCAGCAAUUGUGGACAAAUCAAGAGUGUUCUCAUCUGCAACAUUAGAGCUACCUUCCACGAUUAUCUGGGCACCACCGAUGCAUACAAUAUCAGUUGCCUGAGGGUUGGUGUGGACAAAUGGUGAAGGUGAUCUCUUGUCCAUUUGUGUGAUGACCUGAAGGACCUCAUCAUUGUCCACUCCUGUAGAUGCCAUUGAACUUGUUGCAGAUGCAUCUACAGGUUUAUCACACUCCAGAAGACUCUCAACUUGAACCAUCUCAUUUAGGACAGAGAGAGAACUUGCAUCAUCUUUAGCUCUUUCCCACAGGUUUUCUGCCUGUUUUUCGUUGAUGGACCAGGCCUGUAAAAUCUUAAAUGGCAGCUCAUUGCCUGCAUUCUCUGUCUCCAUGGGCUCUGGGGACUGCUGUGGACCCAUUGGCGGGACGAUAGCCACGGGGGGCGGCGGAGCGGUGGCAACUGCCGUCAGGGUCAUGUACCUGGGGGUGGACUUAAUCUCCAGCCGUAUAGUGGAGUCCUCAUCACUAAACCUCUCAGGGGGUCUCACCUGGUAGUCUUUGGUGUUUAGAUGUAGUUGUGUUUUGCCUGCUUGUAAAACAUACAUCUUCUCUGUGCUGAAUUGUAGGGACUGAGAGGGGUCUUGUGUUGAGUUAUUCCCAUUUACAGGUCCAUUUUUAGAUCUUAAAACACUCUGGGGCCAGUGCUGUAUUUCCUUGAGCGAGAUCUUAUGUUUAUGAGGUUUUUCCUGAGGGGUGUCAGUGAGAGAAGGAGAGGAAGCAUGUUGCUGUUCAGGGGUGGUAGAGGUCUGUGUGUGAGAAACCAGAGCAGCAUUGCCAGGAAGAUGAUCUGUAUGUUGUGUUAUGGCUUGGGAAGGAACACUAGGUCCUAGUAUACCAUGGGUGUCUGCAUGUGUUACCUGGGCUGCUUUUAGGUCAACAACACCAGAUUCUGUACCUCCCGUGGAAGGGAAAUCUGUAAAAACAAGUGAUGUAGAAUAUCUCGCAGGAGCAGUUGUAUGUCCUGAUGUUGUUUCACUGUGUUUGUUGUUGACCAUAGGAACAGUUGGAGUGAUGUUGGNNNNNNNNNNUUCUGUGUGUUCGUUUUUCAUGUCCAUGCUAGCUAUACAUAUUACACAAAAACUUUGAGGGAAUACAUGCCGUUUUCUUUUGCCAGUGGCUUGCGAUUAGUGUCCUUACCUGAGUGUCUGAAUUCUUUUGGAGGAUCACGAUGGAGAGACUUCGUCCAAUGCUUUGCCUGAACAAUGCUCUCCUUCAUCAAAAUGGCAGCAGGCUCCUGCAUUUCCCACUUCCUUUUGAAGCGCUUUUCACAUAAACCGCUUGGUCCAGGCUUCAGCUCCCCUAUAUCUUGCUGCUUCACUUCCAUAACGGGGGGCUGUUUCUUCUUGUUCUGGCAGUUCACAGAAGCAUCUUCCUCUUCAUCAUCAGAGCGCUGUGCAUCUUCCGGAUCUGUGUAAGACCUGUUGAACAUGACGUAAUUUUCAUAUUCACAG